rnacentral:rRNA from 1 species
CCUACGGGCGGCAGCAGUGGGGGAUAUUGGACAAUGGGGGGAACCCUGAUCCAGCGACGCCGCGUGAGUGAAGAAGUAUUUCGGUAUGUAAAGCUCUGUCAGCAGGGAAGAAAGAAAUGACGGUACCUGACCAAGAAGCCCCGGCUAACUACGUGCCAGCAGCCGCGUUAAUACGUAGGGGGCAAGCGUUAUCCGGAAUUACUGGGUGUAAAGGGAGCGUAGACGGUGCAGCAAGUCUGAUGUGAAAGGUCGGGGCCCAACCCCGGGACUGCAUUGGAAACUGUUGAACUGGAGUACAGGAGAGGUAAGCGGAAUUCCUAGUGUAGCGGUGAAAUGCGUAGAUAUUAGGAGGAACACCAGUGGCGAAGGCGGCUUACUGGACUGUAACUGACGUUGAGGCUCGAAAGCGUGGGGAGCAAACAGGAUUAGAUACCCCAGUAGUC